rnacentral:lncRNA from 1 species
UGUUUAUUCCUCUGGGAUGCAGUCAGGGCCUGAGGGCUUACCAAAAACAAAGUUGGGAAAGGUCCCCUCAUUUCUGUGAUACAGUUCAGAUCACUUCAAAAAGUUCAAUAUAGCAAGAAAUAACCAGUCUAAAGGAUCACUGCCUUGGUUUAUGUGUGAAUUCUCAUUGCAAUAGAAGGCUGAGAAUUUGCUGAAGCAGCAGGAGAGCAGUACUGUGAAAUGAGGUUCAGUCAAUGAAGAGCGAUAAGUGUAGUGAUCAAUAAACAAGUGAUUUGUGAACAGCAGCUGAUGACUGUGAGUGUGCAUUGGUUCCAGAUGUGUACUGUAGGAGCAAGGCAUGCUGAAGUGGAUGAUACUGUUAUACUGCAAGUCUUAUAGAGCUUUAAAUUCUGCCAUGCAUGACUUCUCAGAGGUUUCCAGCAGCCUCAGCCUACCCAGACAGGUCAAGAGAGAUUGCAGAUGGCCAGCAGAGCCAGAGGAGACAGAAAUAAUUUACGGACUCAGCAGCAGUAGCUUUUGCAGAUCACAGUGGCUGAGCAAAGUGCUCAGGCUUCCCAAGAUCAGCGGUUCUGGAUCUGCUAUGAGCAUCUGCUGCAGAGUGCAAGAGGAGAAAUAUUGCUGUGAAGGUCUCCCAGAGAAGGCUGGAAAACAUCAAGUAGCCUGCUUUCUUGCUUUCUGACUGUGUGUGGUUAUGCCCAUGCUUAUCAUGAUUCUUUCUCAAAAUCACGUUUUAGAAUAAAAAAUAAAAAUUAAUCCA